rnacentral:rRNA from 1 species
GACGGAGGAUGCAAGCGUUAUCCGGAAUGAUUGGGCGUAAAGCGUCCGCAGGCGGCUCGUUAAGUCUGUUGUCAAAGCGUGGAGCUUAACUCCAUAAGGGCGAUGGAAACUGAUGAGCUAGAGAGUGGUAGGGGUAGAGGGAAUUCCCAGUGUAGCGGUGAAAUGCGUAGAUAUUGGGAAGAACACCAGUGGCGAAAGCGCUCUACUGGGCCACAACUGACGCUGAGGGACGAAAGCUAGGGGAG